UGUAAUGUUUUUAUUUUGAAGGCUUUG
rnacentral:piRNA from 1 species